AAUUCAGGAAUCUCCUGUUCACUUAGGUUUAUCUGACAACACUGGUUUCCAAACAAAUAAAAAUUUUGUAGGGCCUAGAAACCACCUCUAGAGACACAUUAGGAAUGUGGCCUGUACACUUCUGGAGUUGCCUUUCUGCUUCAGAGAUGCUAGAUAGUUUCUUCUGGCUUUUCCCAUGCUCCAAAGCACCAGGGAAGGGAAUCUGGAGUCACUCGGAGGCGGUUAUCACUAGGAAGUAAUGAGGCGGUCUCUGUUCCUCAGCUGGCCCCUUCCUCACCUGAAGAGGCAAUGUUCCAAAACACGAUAUUUUGAGUGACAGAAAGAAAAAGUAUUGAAUAGCUUUCUUUUUCCUCUAGUAACAUGUGCAUCCCUAAGUUUCAUUAGGGUCAGUCAGCUAUCUUGAGUGCUGUAUGUUCAUGAGUAUUUGCUCACACUGCAUAUGUCAUUGCCAGACACGGAGGUCUCCCUCUGCAUGACAUCUCUAAAAAUCUUCAUUGAACCUACAUUUGGUGUCACCCAGCAAUACCCUAUGUGAUCCUACAAACAUCUCCUGGCCUUAUCUCCACCUCACUCAUGCCACAGGUACACUGGCCUUUCUGCUCUUCAUAUGUCAUGCUUGCAUCUAUCUCAUGGCCAGUGCAUUUAUUUCCUCCCUCUAGAAGGCUCUUAUCCCAAACCAUUGCAUGACUGGGUCUCAUUCAGCUUGGUUAAACUGCAACUUUCUCAGAGAGGACUUCCCACAUAGUCGUUCCCUACCCAUUACCCUUUUACCUCUGACCCCUAUGUAAAAUCACUUGCCUCCUUCACUAGAAUGUAAGCCCCAUGAGAACAGGAAUUUUUUCUCUUAGCACUGCAUCCUUGGCACCUAGAAUGGUGGUGGGCACUCAGUAAAUAGAUGCUGGCAUAGCUAAUUGACCAGUCAGGGCUGCCACAGAUGGACAGGAGUCUUCACACUGUGCAGAGAUCUAGGGCAAAAUGGGAAAGAAUACUUCAUCUGUAUUUGUAUUAUGUGCUAAAGCUUCUUCAGCCUGAACACCAUUGCCGUUUUGGACAGGCUAACUUGGGGGUGGGGGGCUGUCCUGUGAAUUGUAGGAUGUUAGAAGCAUUCCCAGACUCUAGAUGCUGUAACACCUCUCCCCAGUUUCAGACAACUAGAAUGUCUCUAGACAUUGCCACAUGUCUGCCAAGAGGCAAAAUUGCCCCUGCUUGAAAACCACUUGAACUUGAUGAGACAGAUCCCAAGCAGGGCAACUUGUGCACCACGUCUUACAGAGUUUCUGGAAGUAUAGUUUUUUUUAAUAGUAAACCAUUUUUAUAAUAAUGCUGCAUAAUCUAUCCAAAAUGCAGUGGCCUCCAGCUGUAUAUACUUGUUGUUUCUAGUUUUUUGUCUUAGGUGUGUGCAGUUUGGCAGCUGUGGGGCAGAUUGUGGUCAGGUUUCGCUAGAUCUCACUUCAAGCGCAGAUUUAAUCACGUCCUGCCAAAUCUUUCUCCUCCUUGGGUCAGCGGCUACUUGAGUCAUGUUCAUGAUGAACAACAGAUGGCCAAAAGGAAAACUCAAUCAUGCUAGCAUAUUUCAAGCUAUAUUCUCAAAUAUAUCACUAAGGAGAUGACAGAUGAUUAAAGUCAAAGAGCAGAGAAAUACGCCACCUACAGUGAAAAGUAGAGGAGACUGAGUAUUUGCUGAAUGGUAAUUCGAAUGAUUACACACAUCUUUCAGAUUUCACUCAUGGCUGUCUGUUUAGUCAUAGGACCAAUAGAGCUAGAACAGGAGACAGAUCUAAGUGAUAAUCACAGUGAAAUCGUCCUUGACAAAAUUUUCUUAAUAGGGGCUUCUAGUUUUUUCCCAUAGGAUUAGUUUGUUUCAGCAUUAGUUUGCUUAGUUUAAUUUGAAGCCCUCUUAGACUUUGAAGGUAGAACCCCUCUUACACAAAGUUUUGAUAAAAUGUUUGACUUUGAUGCAUUGAAGAAUCUUUGAUCAGAGCUAUUAUUAACUUACCUUUUUAUGUUUUCUUAUCUAUACCACAAACUGCUUCAGGACAUUGAAUCAGUUCUAGUUGUUUUGCCAAUGGGUUUCAGCCCAGAGCAAGUUCACUACCGAUUCAGUGAGACCGAGGAAUGACAAUGAGGAAUGACAAUGGAACGUUCUAGGGGUGAAAGGGUUUUAUUACCCGGCUUGGUCUCCCAGUGACAGGUCGAGCACUAGAAUUACCUCUGCAUCCAAGAGCCUGCAACUCUAAUCCUCCUUCGUCUCCGCCUCUGGCUCUUUAUAUAAUGACUCAGCCAAUAGCGGCUUAUUGCCUACAGGUGUGGAAGCAGUAGCCUAGCAGCAGGCCAGUUACAUCAUCAAGUAGUAUUGGUUCAGCUGCUCAUUGUUAUCCGCGUCAUCAUCUUGAUUCUUUUGGCCUUCCGCUCAUCAUCUCAAGAUACUGUUGCAGCUCCAAGUAAUGAAUGUACAUUUAAGGUAGGAAGAAGGUAUGGUGGAGAAGGCAGUCCCCACAAAUACCAUCUCUGUUACUGGGAAUGCAAAAAUUUUUGUGGAAACUCUCCAGCAGACUUUUCAUGUUUUCCUUUUCAUGCAUGUUUCUUUGGCCAGAGCUGGAUCUCUUGGCCAUCCCUACCUGUUAAUAGUGGGAGACGACAAGGAAGAAGUAUGUUGGCAAAGACUUGAGUCAAUUUUCCAACAAGCUCUGGGGAAUGGAUUUGAAACUCUCUGAUUCAAAGCAAAACAAUAGUGACAAAUAACAAUAACAAAUAACAAAACUUUUAUCAAAAGUUGACAUACCAGGGAUUUUGUUAGUUGCCUUGCAUGUAUUAUGUUAUUUAAUUCUCACCCUAACUCAGAUAAAGAAACUGAGGCUAGGAGUAGUACCUCCUGAAUAGUAAUCCUGAACCCAUCUUAACCUAGUUCGCUUGGCUGGUAAACAGCAGUGCUGUAAUUCACACUAGUGCUCUCUGAUUCCAAAAAUUGUGCACUUAGCUGUUGUGAGUACAGUUUAAAUAGCAAAUAAUUUCUCAAAUCAGGGAAUCCAUAAAAUUUGUUAGAUUCUCAAACUUAAUCAGUUACUUGAGCUUGGGAAGUGGGUAAUGCCCCUGAAAUCCAGUAACAUUUUAUAAUUUUAUUAAUUUAUUCAAAUACUUUUGAACAGCAACAUACACAAUGUACUCUGCUAGGUACUAUGCGUGAGAGGCAUGAAAAGUGAAUGAAUACCUGAGACAUUGGUAGUGCACUUAUAAAAGUUUCAGUCUGGAAGGGAAAGUAUGAUAUGUACAGAACAAGAACAAAGUUGGAAAGUGAUAAAUAGGAGACUGUAAGAUACAUAAGGGUAGUGACCAUGCCUAUUUUUGUUUGCUCCAAUGUGUCCAGACCUAGUGUAUUUCUACAUACAAUAGGAACUCAAUAAAUAUUUGUUCAUUUGAACAGAAGAACAGAUAAAAUGUCUGGACUUCAGACAGAUUUAUUCCAGGUGAAGGAAUUAGGGAAGGAUUCGUGGAAGAAGAGACAUUUGAUCCAGGACUUGAAAGAUGAAAGUGGAUUGGACAUAAAGAAUUAGGGCUGAGGGAGGUGGUGAAGGAAAGAGCCCAAGGAAGAAGUCUCAGCAGGAGCAAGGCACAGAAGAAAGUUGUGGACUGUCUCAAACAGCAUGUGCUUCCCUGUGGCUGCAGGCAUAUGGAUCGGAAGCUUUACUUUGGGGGAGCGUGUCUCCGAGCUGAUUAUAUGUCAACCUCUUUGAAAGAAAGGAGUUCAGGACUUACUGGUGAGCGGCUGAUGCUAUUUCAAUGGAAAGCUUGGGGUUAUACUUGCAACGGGGCAUUUUUAGCACGAAGGUAACUCUAGCCUCAAGACUAUGGCUUCUAUUUAAA